UACGUAGGGUGCGAGCGUUGUCCGGAAUUACUGGGCGUAAAGAGCUCGUAGGUGGUUUGUCGCGUUGUUCGUGAAAACUCACAACUCAAUUGUGGGCGUGCGGGCGAUACGGGCAGACUGGAGUACUGCAGGGGAGACUGGAAUUCCUGGUGUAGCGGUGGAAUGCGCAGAUAUCAGGAGGAACACCGGUGGCGAAGGCGGGUCUCUGGGCAGUAACUGACGCUGAGGAGCGAAAGCGUGGGGAGCAAACGGG
rnacentral:rRNA from 1 species